UGGAGCCUGUCCAACAAGCAGCAGAUCUGCCAGGAUGCCAGUGGGACACCUAAGCCCUGACAGUAGGGGCUGCCUUAGCCAAAGCUGGUCAUUACAAAUAUGAGGUCUCCAAAGGUUGAGGGCAGAUAGGCCAGAAGGACUCUCAGCUUCCAGAGAUGAUCAGCCUACCUUACCUUCCACCAUCUUCAAAUCCAGCAGAGUAGCACCUUCAAUUCUCUUUCCAACUCUAACUCUCUCAUCUUCCUCCUUCAUUUAUGAGAACCUUGUGACUACAGAGACUCGCCCACAAAGUUCAAAAUAAUCCAGGUGCACUUUGGAGUAUGGCCAAGCUACCUCCCAGGUCAUGAGGAAGAUUCUCAGGAAGUGGGAGCUGUCAAGAAUUGUAAAUUCUCAAGAGGACCAAGAAGCUAUUAGGUAGGACAUCAUUAGCAUCUGCUCCAAAACAACUAGGUAACUUCAUAAACAAUCUGGAUGUUGGGGCCAGUC